rnacentral:rRNA from 1 species
UACGUAGGGUGCGAGCGUUGUCCGGAAUUAUUGGGCGUAAAGAGCCCGUAGGCGGUUUGUCGCGUCUGCUGUGAAAACUGGGGGCUCAACCCCCAGCCUGCAGUGGGUACGGGCAGACUAGAGUGCGGUAGGGGAGAUUGGAAUUCCUGGUGUAGCGGUGGAAUGCGCAGAUAUCAGGAGGAACACCGAUGGCGAAGGCAGAUCUCUGGGCCGUAACUGACGCUGAGGAGCGAAAGCAUGGGGAGCGAACAGG